AAAAAGACAAACCCUAGGUUUCCGUGUCCAACUUUGACUAUCCGUCUUAUAUGAUUUUUUUUUAUAAUUAGUAUUUUCAUUGUUGUUAGAUGAUAAAACAUGAUUAAUACUUUAUGCGUGAGACUUGUCUUUUUAAUUUUUUUCAUAAUUUUUUUAAAUAAGACGGACGGUCAAACGUUGGACACGGAAACACAGAUGGAGUAUCUAGC
rfam:Oryza barthii chromosome 9, whole genome shotgun sequence.